rnacentral:sRNA from 1 species
GCUGGGCAUGGUGGCGCAUGCCUGUAAUCCCAGUGUCUCUGGAGACUGAGGCAGGAGCAUCUCGAGUUCAAAGCCAGCCUCAGCAAAAGCGAGGCAUUAAGCAACUCAGUGAGACCCUCUCUCUA